UGAUAUGUUUGAUAUUAGGUUGUUUUACUGAAACUCAACUAAAUAUCAUACAUAUUGCU
rnacentral:pre_miRNA from 1 species